GGGCCCGCACAAGCGGUGGAGUAUGUGGUUUAAUUCGAUGCAACGCGAAGAACCUUACCAGGGCUUGACAUCCUGCGAACCUCUGGGAAACCGGAGGGUGCCUUCGGGAACGCAGUGACAGGUGGUGCAUGGCUGUCGUCAGCUCGUGUCGUGAGAUGUUGGGUUAAGUCCCGCAACGAGCGCAACCCACGUCUUUAGUUGCCAGCAUUUAGUUGGGCACUCUAGAGAGACCGCCGGUGACAAACCGGAGGAAGGUGUGGAUGACGUCAAGUCAUCAUGCCCCUUACGUCCUGGGCUACACACGUACUACAAUGCUACGGACAAAGAGCAGCUAACUCGCGAGAGUACGCAAAUCCCAUAAACCGUGGCUCAGUUCAGAUCGUAGGCUGCAACUCGCCUACGUGAAGGCGGAAUCGCUAGUAAUCGCAGGUC
rnacentral:rRNA from 1 species